GAGAACAUCAUAGCAAGGAGGAUUUUGCUGUGAGAGGCAAGGAGCCGAAAGACGAGGUUCAGAUUUAUACAUGGAAGGAUGCUACUCUUCACAAGUUAAAUGGUUGUUUUGUUGUAAAAGAGGUUAGUUCUCUCUGUCUCAAUCUCUUUUGCGCACGUGUGCAUGCAUGUGAGGAGGGAUUUUCAUCUUUUCUAAUUCAUGUAUGAUGCAUGCACAAGCCAUCUCCUCCUACCUCCCUUCAUCUUAAAAGCGUAUGUGGCAUAUCAACCCAUUUGCUUGUACCGAUGGUUCAUUUCAAUGCUCGUUGGCUAUAAUCAUGUUUGUCUUCUUUUCUUGAUGGGUUAUCACUAAGAGAAUGAACAAAUGAUUUCUUUUCGUCGUUUCAUUUCACUGCUCCCAUCGACCAAAAAAGAUCAUAUGUGGAGGCCUCACGUCACAUAUAUUUGUUAAAUAGCCACUUUAAUCUCGCAUCUAAGCAUCUGUUGGAUGGGUAAUCUCAAUAUUCACGCAUAGCAUGUUAUUAAUGCAUGCAUCCCCCUACCUAGUGGGACCUAUCAUGAAGUUCUGUUUUCUUCUGGUUGAGAAUGCUCUAUUGCUUAAUGAAGGUGGGCAAGACCGACUCUCAUAGAAAUGUCUAUGGGAAGUUAGAUGACAACAAAGCAUUGGCUCAGCUUGGCUUCCAGAUCGGAGAUUACUUGGAUGUGGCAAUUCUAUGGAGGCUUUACUAUGUCAUAUUUAGGUAAUUAGGCUGCACAUUGUUAGGUUAUAUUCAGUAGGCUUGAGAUGUAUGGUAUGAGAAGCUGGACCUGAGAUCUGCUUAUUUUGUAUUAUUAGAAACUAUAAAGGGAUGGGUAGGACAGCAGACUAACAAUCAUCAUGUGCGUAGAGUUUCAACAUGUUGUAGAACAGGCUGGUACGUAUUGCAAUUUGAAGAAUACGUGACAGGAUUUGCGCUGUACGUUACAUCGACAUCAUAUUCCGCAAUGUUUUCCAAA